rnacentral:pre_miRNA from 1 species
GGGGGGAGGCCGGAUCCUGGGCUCUGUCCCCCAGCGUCCUGGGCCCCAGGGGCCUGCACUGCUGGAAACACGCUCCCAGGGCCCAGUAGCCCCCU